UACGUAGGGUGCAAGCGUUGUCCGGAAUUAUUGGGCGUAAAGAGCUCGUAGGCGGUUUGUCGCGUCUGCUGUGAAAACCCGAGGCUUCAACCUCGGGCCUGCAGUGGGUACGGGCAGACUAGAGUGCGGUAGGGGAGAUUGGAAUUCCUGGUGUAGCGGUGAAAUGCGCAGAUAUCAGGAGGAAUACCGGUGGCGAAGGCGGGUCUCUGGGCCGUAACUGACGCUGAGGAGCGAAAGCGUGGGGAGCGAACAGG
rnacentral:rRNA from 1 species